AUUCACCAUGUGAGCGGGACGGAAUACAAUGGAAAGAUAUGUAGCUGACAGUGGAAAGUCCAGGAAAUCGAGCGAUUCAGCGGAAAUCAGACAAACGUUCUUUUGAAGACCCGGACCUGGAGUUAUACACUGACUUUGGUUCUUUGCAGAAAUGGGACCUGCUCUCAGGGCCUCACGACCGGCCACUUUUCAAUAUGCCAAGGACGCGGCCUGGAAGUCUAGUGCAACUUCAGGGUGCCGGAUUUUCGUGGCUCUGGAGGCGGGCUGGUUCAAGGCUGGUACUGCCACCUGAUGUGUCGUCGGAGACAGAAGAUUGAAAACAGUGAGCUGGCUGCUGGCUGUGUGCCCAGAGACCCGGGUUCUUCGGGCAUAGAGCUCGAUAAAAGCGACACAACAGACUUUUAACACCAUAAAUCAGCAAGUUGUUUCGUUAUGUCUCCCCUCUUGUUGUGAAAAGGAAACAUCUCUUCUUCCCUUAUUAGGGAGAGAGAGCUUGAGGUAUGUCGAAUUACCAGGCGAACAAGUAGUCUUUGGGGUACUGCAAGCCUGUGUCUUUAUUGGAUGUGAGACCCGACGCAGACUGGGAGACCGUUUCGCUGAACACCUACACUCUGUCCGCCAGAGAAAGCAGGAUCUCCCAGUGGCCACACUUUUUAAUUCCACGUCCAUUCCCAUUCUGAUAUGUCUAUCCAUGGCCUCCUCUACUGUCAAGAUGAAGCCACACUCAGGUUGGAGGAACAACACCUUAUAUACCGGCUGGGUAGCCUCCAACCUGAUGGGAUUAACACGGGGACAGCCAACAAAUUCCUUCCGGAUGAGGAUCAAACAAGGUCGAACCUGUUUCACCGUUGAAAUCGACUUUCCUCGAUCUUUUAGCUCCCGAACUCCAAACUUCACUCUCCACUGAUCUUUAACUGGCAGUAUUAUAAAGAAACUGCCGGCA